rnacentral:tRNA from 1 species
GGAGUUGUGGCUCAGAGGUAGAGCACUUGCCUACCAUGCAUGAGGCACUGGGUUUGAUCCUCAGCACCA